GAAUGAGCAUAGCCAUGAAGAGCUGCUGUUUAUUCACUGUGAUGAAGAAUAUCUGGCCUAUGAUGUGUACACACAAGUAUGCUUUGCUGAAGUAUGAAAGGACUUUGGAACUUUGUGGAAGAAAAGCUAACGAGUGCUCAAGGCUUGGUGAGCUGUUCUGUGGAAGCUUGCAAGGAAAAGAAAAUCAAAUAUGGUAAAGUUCGGUAACUUGUAACAGCCAAGAAAUCAGGAAGAUGGGAAGAGACAUCCUGGGUCACACUG